CUGACUGUGAUGCCCCACUGGCCUCUGCCUUGCCUAGGUCAUCCUUCAGCAGCUCCUCAGAGCUGUCCAGCAGCCACGGCCCGGGGUUUUCAAGGCUUAAUCGAAGAGAUGGAGCUGGUGGCUGGACCCCACUUGUGUCAAAUAAAUACCAAUGGCUGCAAAUUGACCUUGGAGAGAGAAUGGAGGUCACUGCUGUCGCCACCCAAGGAGGAUAUGGGAGCUCUGACUGGGUGACCAGCUACCUCCUGAUGUUCAGUGAUGGUGGGAGAAACUGGAAACAGUAUCGCCGAGAAGAAAGCAUCUGGGGUUUUCCAGGAAACACAAAUGCUGACAGUGUGGUGCACUACAGACUCCAGCCUCCCUUUGAAGCCAGGUUCCUGCGCUUUCUCCCUUUAGCCUGGAACCCCAGGGGCAGGAUUGGGAUGCGGAUCGAAGUGUACGGAUGUGCAUAUAAAUCUGAGGUGGUUUAUUUUGAUGGACAAAGUGCUCUGCUGUAUACACUUGAUAAAAAACCUUUAAAACCAAUAAGAGAUGUUAUUUCUUUGAAAUUUAAAGCCAUGCAGAGCAAUGGAAUUCUACUUCACAGAGAAGGACAACAUGGAAAUCACAUUACUCUGGAAUUAAUUAAAGGAAAGCUUGUCUUUUUUCUUAAUUCAGGCAAUGCUAAGCUGCCUUCCACUAUUGCUCCUGUGACCCUCACCCUGGGCAGCCUGCUGGACGACCAGCACUGGCAUUCCGUCCUCAUCGAGCUCCUCGACACGCAGGUCAACUUCACCGUGGACAAACACACUCAUCAUUUCCAAGCAAAGGGAGAUUCCAGUUACUUGGAUCUUAAUUUUGAGAUCAGCUUUGGGGGAAUUUCGACACCCGGAAGAUCACGGGCAUUCACACGUAAAAGCUUUCAUGGGUGUUUAGAAAAUCUUUAUUAUAAUGGAGUGGAUGUUACCGAAUUAGCCAAGAAACACAAACCACAGAUCCUCAUGAUGGAGUUGGCUCAUGGGUUGCAGGACCAAAACCUGAAAAUAUCUCUGACUGUGUGUCACCAGACCACACAAUGACAUCACUUAGGUUAGCAUGAGAAAAAGGGAAAAACAGCUGUGAAGCCCAUGAACUUUCCAAGAAGGUAAAGGAGAAAAAAAAAAAAAAGUGGGAUUUGAAGUCUAAGUUUUUCUAUGAACAGCACCCUGCUGAGAUCAUAAAAAUGAAAAAUACCAUCAAGAUACAUGAAAAAGGAAACACCAAAGGGAAGAGUGAUAACAAGGCUCCACAGAGUGCAGUUUCCUUUGACAAGAUGAAAAAGAAAUGAAAAGAGGAAGGAGAUAAAUGGAACAGCCCUCUACCUAAAGUUUCUGUCCAUGGAGAAACUGACAUUUAAGUGCUGCUCAACAGGAAAAAGAAAAAAGACCUGGUUAUUGAAGUUGGCUUUGUUGGAGAUGCGUUACUCAGAUACAGAUACAAAGAUGGGUUUGGCCAAUGGGCAUCCGUGUCAAGAAGCCUGACCUAACACGUUCUGAAUAUUAAGCUACCUUUUAUCUGCCAGUCCUUGGUGUUCAGAAGAAUCCCUCCUCCUCACCCUAACUUCUAUGGGGCUAUUUCCAAAGACACUGUCAUUGAAGUGAGGAAGAGUGAGUUGGGCCUUAUGACACAAAGAGACAAGACUAUUUGAGGACAAUAGACACAGGUUUUCAUAUACAUUCCAUGUUAUUCUGAAUUACUGAUGGGUUCACUGAUGGAAUUAUUGAGUAUAGCCAAUAAGGAGAACCACAAUUAAGCUGGUAUCUCUGGGUUCUGGAUAUCAUCCUCAAGAAAACUAUUUACUAAUUACAUUGAAUGAGGUUAUUAAAAUGUGUAAGUUUCACACAAAAACAAAAAGACAAUUCAUUCCAAAUUGUGCAUAUGGAUAUAUAAUGUUAAUUAUGGGAAUUCCAUUUUAAGAAUUACUACAAUUCUAUGUGUUCUGUAUAAAAACAGGAAAAUAGUUGUUCCAAUAUAUAAAAGGAAAACAUUUAAAAAUGUAUUUUGUUGGGAAAAUCAGUUGCCAGAAUUCAUUCAGUCAACUAACAAGCACUCCUCUGUGGCAAGAAGCCCUGCUUCUCUGUUGUAGCAGGCAGCUACCCACCUAAAUGAUGAGGUCAAGAAAUAUACAGCUGAUAAAAAGAUAAAAAAUAUGUAAUAGUCCAGUGAUUACAUGUGUACUAUGGAUCAGCGCCAAUUACUUGUAAGCUUUUGGUAUUUAGUUUGUUACAGCAAAUGUUUUCUUUUUUAAAUUUUCUUCUGCAAAUGUUUUCUUGUCAUGAAAACUGUUUCCCAUUUGGCAGAAUUACAAAAAUAGUCAAGAAGAAAUGUUCUGAUUGAUGUAUACAGUUAGAAUGUGUAUUAAAGAUUAUUAUAAAAUGAUAACUGAAUUAUAUCCAUUUCUAAAGUAUGUUGGGACAGAAUUUUUUAAAAAUGUGAUUCUGUUUUGAAAAUUGUUUUACCACUGGAUCAGUGUGGUUCUUAAACUUGGCUUUAUCUUGGAGUCACCAGAGGAGAUUCAAAAGAUACCUUUACCUGGCUCUACCUCCAGAGAUCGGGAUUUUAAUUGGUCUGUAUCUGGAUUUUAAGAGCCCUUCUGGUGAUUCGACUGUUUAGCUAGGUUUGAGAGCCACUACCCUAGAUUAUCUGUCCUGCUCCAGUAACAUUCUUUUUCUAAAAUCAUUUAUAGUAUAUUAGAAAUAAAUCCAUGGAAAUUCCAAGU
rnacentral:sRNA from 1 species